rnacentral:sRNA from 1 species
GCCGGGCGUGGUGGCGGGCGCCUGUAGUCCCAGCUACUCGGGAGGCUGAGGCAGGAGAAUGGCGUGAACCCAGGAGGUGGAGCUUGCAGUGAGCUGAGAUCCAGCCACUCACUCCAGCCUGGGUGACAGAGCCAGACUCUGUCUCAA